rnacentral:rRNA from 1 species
UACGUAGGUGGCAAGCGUUAUCCGGAAUUACUGGGCGUAAAGAGCUCGUAGGUGGUUUGUCACGUCGUCUGUGAAAUUCCACAGCUUAACUGUGGGCGUGCAGGCGAUACGGGCUGACUUGAGUACUGUAGGGGUAACUGGAAUUCCUGGUGUAGCGGUGAAAUGCGCAGAUAUCAGGAGGAACACCGAUGGCGAAGGCAGGUUACUGGGCAGUCACUGACGCUGAGGAGCGAAAGCAUGGGU